GGGGAAUUUUCCGCAAUGGGCGAAAGCCUGACGGAGCAAUACCGCGUGAGGGAUGAAUGCCUAUGGGUUGUAAACCUCUUUUUUCAGGGAGGAAUCAAUGACGUGUACCUGAAGAAUAAGCAUCGGCUAACUCCGUGCCAGCAGCCGCGGUAAGACGGAGGAUGCAAGUGUUAUCCGGAAUCACUGGGCGUAAAGCGUCUGUAGGUGGUCCAAUAAGUCAACUGUUAAAUCUUGAGGCUCAACUUCAAAAUCGCAGUCGAAACUAUUAGACUAGAGUAUAGUAGGGGUAAAGGGAAUUUCCAGUGGAGCGGUGAAAUGCGUAGAGAUUGGAAAGAACACCGAUGGCGAAGGCACUUUACUGGGCUAUUACUAACACUCAGAGACGAAAGCUAAGGUAGCAAAUGGGAUUAGAUACCCCAUAGUC
rnacentral:rRNA from 1 species